AAUACUGUCAUUGAGUGAUGUGGUCAUGUGAUGUUCAUCUUAGCAACCAUUUCUCUUAGGGAUGGAAAUUCUGGCCCCAGUGAAGGUUGUUGAACUAUAGUUUCAAGGUCAUUGGUGGGCGCAGAGGUUAGA